rnacentral:rRNA from 1 species
GUGGGGAAUAUUGGACAAUGGGGGGAACCCUGAUCCAGCCAUGCCGCGUGUGUGAAGAAGGCCUUUUGGUUGUAAAGCACUUUAAGCGAGGAGGAGGCUACCGAGAUUAAUACUCUUGGAUAGUGGACGUUACUCGCAGAAUAAGCACCGGCUAACUCUGUGCCAGCAGCCGCGGUAAUACAGAGGGUGCAAGCGUUAAUCGGAUUUACUGGGCGUAAAGCGCGCGUAGGUGGCCAAUUAAGUCAAAUGUGAAAUCCCCGAGCUUAACUUGGGAAUUGCAUUCGAUACUGGUUGGCUAGAGUAUGGGAGAGGAUGGUAGAAUUCCUGGUGUAGCGGUGAAAUGCGUAGAGAUCUGGAGGAAUACCGAUGGCGAAGGCAGCCAUCUGGCCUAAUACUGACACUGAGGUGCGAAAGCAUGGGGAGCAAACAGGAUUAGAAACCCUAGUAGUCC